UUGAAUCAACGGUCUUGGAGUCCUCUUUGGAGUUGAUUCCUCGACCUUACCUACCCCUGUGCACUGUAAAUGUUUUUGGGACGGCUCUUGGGCUGUCCCAGCAGUACAAACUCUAUGUAAUUUGUCUGAACUGAACCAAAGAAUCGUAA
rnacentral:misc_RNA from 1 species